rnacentral:lncRNA from 1 species
GUGACAUCACAGAACAGGCAGAGGCAGUUCAGGGGUAUUCUGGUUGCCUUACCCAGCUCUGAAGUCUGUCAGCCUCUUCAGAUGUCACUUGCCAUGUGGUAAGGAAGUGUAGUCAGCAGCUGGUGCAGUGGGAAGAAGAGAAAGGAAGUUCCCCAAGACAAAAACAUCUCGGCAGACCGUGAUCAUGGGCUACAUUCUCCGUACCAGCUUCAUAGCUCCAGUGAGAAAAUAAAUUCCUGCAUCCAGGAGAUGUGGAGUAAGAGAUACAGCUGCCCUUGACCAUAUUUCUUACUUCCGAGAAGAUCGUAGCAGUAAUUCAGAAUCUCAUCCAGGAUACCUCAUCACAGGCUGGAGUGCAGUGUCAUGAGCUUGGCUCACUACAGCCUCCAUCUUCUGUGCUUAAGGAUCCUUCCCUCUCAACCUCCAAGGUAGCUGAGACUACAGGCAACAUUCGAAACCCAGGUGCCACUCCUUCAGGAAGGUACCAUCAAGCUCCAAGGACUCAUCCUCUUUCUCCUUCCCCACUACCUAGUCAUUAGAGCGUCAGCAUCCACUUCCUGAAAGGAAGAUGCCUGUUUUUCACAUAUCCCAGAAAGCCUCAUUUUAGGACAGCAUUUAGCAGAGUGUAUUCAGGAUCCCACUAACCUUUUCGGAAGACAUGACUUCCAGAUGAUAUAAGGCAAGAAUAAGAAAUUUCAGUGACAGGGAACAGAAAUCAUAUUUCUGCAUUCAGGAUCAUGUUUUCUUGGCUCCAUCAGGAACUGUGCAGGACUGUGCACUCUGUUGAUACUCACAUGGUGGAAUUAUAUUGCCCUUGGCCAACCCUAAAGCCAUCAAGAUAGCAGCAACUACUCUAUCAUUACUGUACCACCACCUGUAUGGAUCUCGUUGCCCAUAUGAAACUGAGUAAGGAACAAUGUGCAUCACACUCACAGAGAAAGAUGGACAAGUUUGGAAUAAUUCACUGUCGAAGUCUUCUUGAGCUGAGCAGUCAUGUGAGCUUGGAAGAUGAUCCCUCUCCAGCUGAUCCUUCAGCUCAGGCCAUCAUCUACAUCUGGAUUCCUGACCCGGAGAAACUAUGAGUAAUGUGUGCUGCUUUUGAGCCACUAAGCUACAUGAAUUAAUGAAGGAUCAUUAUUAAGUUUUUAAUGGGUCAAGAGAAAGUUACCACUGAGGUCUUCUCUACCUGGGCAACAAUUGACUCCUAACAACCACUAUAAGCUUGGAAGAUGAUCCCUCCCCAGCUGAUCCUUCAGGUCUCUACUUUUUGUAGCCUGGGGAUUUUCUACUCCCCCAACAGCCAGAUGAGGCAGAAACCCCUACAGACAUCCCUAUGUGCCUCCUGUGCAAGUGCAGUUGCCCCUUGAAGGCAGUUCUCCUGCUGCAGACCACGCCCACCAAGGGCAGAGUCACAGCCACUGCAGCUGAGCUCAGAGCCUUCUGUGGGGUCUGCAGGGGCAAGGCCAGCUGUCCCCUGGGAUAGUUUGAAGAAUGCAGUUUGUUUGUAUAAUAAAGAUGUUUCUCUACGUCAUUCAUCUUGCUAAUCAAGGACGUUUAACAGCUUCAGACUUUCCUGGUAAUAUUUGUUCUUGCCUUUUUUUGGCAAAUAUAGUUAACACUUCUAUGCAUUUUUUACCUCACAUAAACAUCAUCUAAAACCAUUCAUAUUUCUGUAUUGCGUAUUAAUGCUUUUCAUUCCUGUAUAUAAAAAUGCAUUCAUAAUCGCUUUUC